rnacentral:tRNA from 1 species
GACCCCAUCGUCUAGCCAGGUCAAGGACACGAGCCUUUCACGCUCGCGACACGGGUUCGAAUCCCGUUGGGGUCGCCA